GAUAUCAGGAGGAACACCGGUGGCGAAGGCGGAUCUCUGGGCCGAUACUGACGCUGAGGAGCGAAAGCGUGGGGAGCGAACAGGAUUAGAUACCCUGGUAGUCCACGCCGUAAACGGUGGGCACUAGGUGUGGGCAACAUUCCACGUUGUCCGUGCCGCAGCUAACGCAUUAAGUGCCCCGCGUGGGGAGUACGGCCGCAAGGCUAAAACUCAAAGGAAUUGACGGGGCCGCACAAGCGGCGGAGCAUGUGGCUUAAUUCGACGCAACGCGAAGAACCUUACCAAGGCUUGACAUACACCGGAAACCCUGGAGACAGGUCCCCUUGUCGGUCGUGUACGAGGUGGUGCAGUGGCUGUCGUCAGCUCGUGUCGUGA
rnacentral:ncRNA from 1 species